UACGUAGGGUGCGAGCGUUAAUCGGAAUUACUGGGCGUAAAGCGUGCGCAGGCGGUGAUGUAAGACCGAUGUGAAAUCCCCGGGCUUAACCUGGGAACUGCAUUGGUGACUGCAUUGCUGGAGUUUGGCAGAGGGGGGUAGAAUUCCACGUGUAGCAGUGAAAUGCGUAGAUAUGUGGAGGAACACCGAUGGCGAAGGCAGCCCCCUGGGUCAAGACUGACGCUCAUGCACGAAAGCGUGGGGAGCAAACAGG
rnacentral:rRNA from 1 species